rnacentral:lncRNA from 1 species
CCACUAUCCAUCCUCAAAACUUUUUCAUCGUCCCAAACUAUAGCUUUCGUUUUUAAAUUAUCAUUAUGGCCAUUUCAGAUAUGGCUUCCUGGGUCCACCCUUUGGAAGUGUGUGAUGGGGAUUCUUCCCAAAGAAGGGACAUCGUGGGUAGGCACUCCAAGAGCCUGCGGAAAGCAUCACAAUUUCAGUUCUUUAAGCCUUACGGAGCGCUUUCUCACCUAAUUUUAUGCAAUCCUCCUGGGGAAGGACUUCUUGAUAGGAAGAGGUUAUGAUCCUUAUUUUACAGGAAAGGAGCCUGAGGUCCAGGAAGUCUGACUGGCCCAACAUCUCCCAUCUUACUUGUAGAGUCAGGACUCAAGGCCAAGUCUUCUCACGCCAAGUUUGUGCCUUUUCCAUGACAUCUCGGUGAUGUAACUACUCAGCCAAGCUUCAUACCCAUUUGUUUAUAGUUCCUAAUAUGUACUCCGUUUCCGACUAUGAGAAGGGAGAGAAGAAUUCUCAAACUGGAAUGUGUGGGCGGCGCUAUCUGCGAUGGAGUGAAGGCAGUGGUGGGAAACUGCUGGGCGCUUAGCAAGAAUCAAGGCAGUGACACCAAACUGUGCUGCUUCUCCCAACAACCCACUGGAACAGGAAGAAGCUCAAACAUUCCACUUCUUCAACAUCAUAUCCUUGUUCUUUCUUGGGACAGCAAGCUCAGUGGUCUGGUCAUCCAAUUUGUAUUCAUUCCCACCUUCAAGAUAUCGGAGCUAGACAAGGGGGCAAGAAGACAGCAGAGUUACAGAAGGGGACUGUCCCAUUUCAGAGUCUAUCUGGCUGAUGUAAAAAAUGAGACAUUUCAUAAUUUGGUCUGCUGUUGUGUCCAUCACUGGAAAACCCAGCAUCUUCUUGGAUAAGACCUUGCACUCGGAUUGUAUUACUGUAACUGUAUCAUAGUCAUCAUUGUGGAAAUCAUUGACAAGCCACAAAAGAAGCAAGUUUUGUGCAUGAUUGCCACUUAUCGUUUUGAUUCCUUUGAUCGUCACAUCUACUUGUUUGGCAAUUCUGGUCCCUAAAUUACACAUUUGGUAUAUUUGGUCAGUCUUGAAAUUUCAAAGACAACAAGCUGUCCAGCCAUCUGCAAGAUGUCACUGAAGCCCCUGGUGUUCUCACAGAUUGCAGCUUGUCUGUUCUGAAAGAUGACCAACAAAUCUGGUCCAAGCCUGAGUAAAACAACUGACUGGUCUCAGAGCAACACAGGGUCAUUCACGAGCCUAGCAGUUCCCACGCAAAACCACCCAGCACGUACUUACAAAAGUAAGGCGAGUGGGGACCUGGUAUUUUCCACAUCAUCUUGGAGAAGCACUGUUUUAUUUGUUUGUUUUGUUUAUUUUUCUUCUUUGGGCAUAUUUUGUGUGAUUAAGAAGUGCUGUUAGCUUAGGGGAAUAAGACAAAAAUGCCUUGCAAAUAUCUUGCUUUGGCAUUGCCAAAUUUAACCUUUUGCAUGCAUGUAUUGGACUGGGGGAUUGCUGUUUUAUUUUGUUUUAGACGCGUAGGGGUAGCGUGUGGAGUAAGACUUUGCAGAGAUUACUGCAGAAGUCAUUUUAUUUUCAUAAAGAGGGAAAAAUACACCCAUCUCAUAAUUACAAGUAUUUGGAGCUGAAAUAUGAGACAGAUUCUAUUCCUGCCUUUCACAUAACCUCUAGAUUUCCUCGUCUGCCAAGUGAACAGCCGUUUAAAUCCCCCUCCAAAGAUUCAUUCAUUCGCUGUUUCUACAGGAUCUACUAUGGGCCCUCGGUGCUGAUAACACCGAUUCUUGGAGAGCUCAAGAUUGUCUCCAAUGCCUUUAAGCACCACUCCCAUCCUCCUUUAAAACGAGCUCCUGAAUUCUCCCCCAAAUAGAUCAGAACACUUUGUGUCUGCAAAUACACACGGAGAAAAGAAACGUGUCAGUGGCGUUCACGCGGCGCCGAGCUAGACCGGGUGUGCCAGCGGGCUAGGGAGCUCUCCUUUCUUUGUAAAGGGCAACCCAGCCACUCGAAAAAGAACAAUGUAAAGGGCAUCUGGGGUCAGGGCGGGACACCCAAGCGCUCCUUUCUCGGCUGGGGAAACCUGGGAAACAUUUUUGGGCUCGGGCCGAGUCACGCGGCAAUUCCACGGCAGGAAUUGUGCAAUGGGGCGAGCCGGGCGGGCGUCCGGGGGUGGAAGGAAGCGGUGGGGGGAGGGGGGGGGGGCUUCCAUCGGCCAACCUCCCCGCCGCCGGGGGAAGUGCAAGCUCGACGGCGCGCCCAGGACAGCAGGGGUCCGGGGGGGCCCCCCAGCCAGGGCCGAGGGAGCGGCGCGCCGCGUCAAACAGCGCGUGGGGCCACCAGCCGCUGCCCGGCCCGGGCGACACGGGGCCACCGCCCCGCCGCCCCGACGGCACUGGGAACUCCGGGCGCACUUUCCGUAAGGGCCGCGGGGCUUCCAGCGGCGCCCGCGCCCCCGCCCCCGCCGCCCGGCCCGCGCGCUCGGCCGGUGACGCAGCGGCCGGCUGCGCGGAAGUCUGCGCGGAAACCGGGAACCUCCGCGCCACCGCGCCGCCCUGUCCCCGCCCCCUGUCCCCGCUGAGCCCGGGACCGCGCGUGCCCGCCCCGCUGAGCCCCCGGCUGCGCGUGCCCGCAGGAGCGCCGAGCGGUCCCUGGCGCAGGCUCGGCAGUGAGCGUGUGGUCACGUUCUUUCCUCGCGUCCCUAUGCUAGUGAGGGGCGCGCUCUCAUUAGCUUCACUUAGAGGGGAGACUCAGGCUCCGCAGAGAUCCGCUUCCUUGCUUGAAGCCACACAAGGCAGAGCUGCGCAUCGCAUCCAGGGUGUCUUGCGCAGCUGUCGGACUCCCCUGGAUCGGCCACUUCGCGGCUCUCAUUCCAGUGAGCAGCGGACGGGUGACAGGUGGGACCGGUAAACUGAGCUGCAGCCCCGGUCCCCGCGGCGGCGGCCGUGUGCUUCUGGCUGGAACGCACUCCUCUGCCCGAGUGUGCUGUAAAAAUAUUUUUUCACC